AUUAGGCCAUCAGGAUACAUUUUUCAAAGAAAAUCAAGAGCCUUUCUCCCCAAGUACCCUCAUUUUAGAAGCAAAAUUUAAAAUUUGAGCUUACUGGUUUUAGGGCAUGGGCGAGGUUGGCUGCUGGCAGAAUGGUCACAGAAAACAAGCAGCUAAGGGCAGCUGGGAGGCUGAGGUCAGUCUGCUCUGGACAGGCCAGAUUUCUGUGGUUCUGAGUGACCAUCAGCUGGCCACAGACCUUCUAGCAGGCAAGCUGGCAGGCAGUCCAGCAGGCUACAGGUUACAGACUGGGUGCCACCCCUGGGUUCAGCAGGGUUCACAAAGCUGGUGUUUCCAGCUGCCACUUGGGGCCAGAAGGACCUUUCCUCCCCAUUCCUAAGUGACACAGCAUCUGUACAAUGACUGAAGGCCAUCUGGACAGCAUCCAGACUGAAAUUAAGCAGAGCAUGGAAGGGCAUGUGUGUAAUCCCAACACUCAAGAGUUAAAGGCCGGAGGAUCACUGUGACCUCACAUCUAUUUAUUUGUUUAUUUCUCAAGUGCUGGGGAUGGAAACCAGACAUGCCUGGCAAGUACUCUACAGCUUAGCCCCCAUCAAAGCUAGAACUCCAUGCCUACCACAUGUCCACCCCUGAUCCUCCCCCUGUCCCUUCCCUAGCAACUGCUGAGCUGCCUCAUCCCUACUGGCUUCCUGUGGAAUCACACAGUGCAGUAUUCAGCCUCUGGUGGCUGGCAUUUCUCGUGGAGCCUGUCUCGAAGGCCAACAGGUUUGCAGCAGAUGCCUGCGUGUUGCUUCCUUCCAUGGCUGUCCCAGACCCCACUCAGUGGGUGACCUUUCUCACUGCCCUCUGGUAAAAGUCUCUCCAAUUCAGUCAUCUGAAGCUUACAACAUGAAGUCCUCAUCUAG